rnacentral:rRNA from 1 species
CGGGUGAGUAAUACAUCGGAACGUGUCUUCCAGUGGGGGAUAACUGCCCGAAAGGGCAGCUAAUACCGCAUGAGACCUGAGGGUGAAAGCGGGGGAUCGCAAGACCUCGCGCUGGAAGAGCGGCCGAUGUCCGAUUAGCUAGUUGGUGAGGUAAAGGCUCACCAAGGCGACGAUCGGUAGCUGGUCUGAGAGGACGACCAGCCACACUGGGACUGAGACACGGCCCAG